UAAGCGGAGGAAAAGAAAAUAACAAUGAUUCCCUUAGUAACGGCGAGUGAAGGGGGAAAAGCUCAAAUUUUAAAUCGGCCUAGGUUUACCUAGUCGAGUUGUAAUUUGAAGAAGCGUUUACCGCAUCCAGGUCGGCCCAAAUCCUUUGGGAUAAGGUAUCAUGGAGGGUGAGAAUCCCGUCCGGUUGACCUCAGGAUGUUCUACGUUACGCUCUCUAAGAGUCGAGUUGUUUGGGAUUGCAGCUCAAAAUGGGAGGUAAAUUUCUCCUAAGGCUAAAUACAGGCGAGAGACCGAUAGCGAACAAGUACCGUGAGGGAAAGAUGAAAAGAACUUUGAAAAGAGAGUUAAACAGUACGUGAAAUUGUUGAAAGGGAAACGAUUGAAGCCAAUCGUACUUCGGGAAAUCAACUUCUCGAGUGCUUGUCGUGGAUGACGUUGAGCUUCACGGCCUUCGUUGCUUGCGUUAUGGUGCUUUUGAGGUGUACUUUUCCGUAGACAGUCAACAUCGAUUUUGAUCGUCAUAAAUGAUCGGAGGAAUGUGGCUCUGAUCUCGUAUCGGAGUGUUAUAGCCUUUGGUAGAUGUGACGAUUGGGAUCGAGGAUUGCAACGAAUACCCUUUGGGCUAUCCGUCUGACCUCUGAAAGUCGCUCGGGUGUUGAAAGCGUGCUUAUGACAUUUCUAGUUGGCGGUCAAAAGGUUAGAACGCGAUUACAUUCGUUAAAGGAUGUUGACAUAAUGGCUUUAAACGACCCGUCUGAAACACGGACCAAGGAGUUCUAGCAUAUAUGCGAGUGUU
rnacentral:rRNA from 1 species